AUGGACAUCCCUCUGUUUUGAGACUGGACCCUUGGUCCUGGACUCAUCCAUUAUAGAAAACACCCUCUCCACAUCUGCACAAUCUAGGCCAAUUGAACACUUCCUGGAAGUAUAGUUUAAGGAGGAAAUAUGAAUGGUUUUGAUAUGUUGUAACUAGAACAAUUAUAUUAUGAUAUUUUUUUAAAUGUAUGGAAGACACACUUUUAAUUCAAUGAUGUUUUGAAAUAAAUGCUGCUGGCCAGCACAGUCCAAGCUCCAGGACUAUGUGCUAACAGGUGUGCUGAAGCUCUGUGCUACUGCAAAGAGUUUGUGGGGCAGGACCACGGGAUACAGCAGGGUUGAAUCCUUUCUCAAAUGCCUUAUAGGUAUUCGUUUAAAAAGGAAACAUAAAUGGCGUUGGUGCUUAGUAAGAUCAUGGCUUUGAUAGCACAAUGAAGGUAUUGAUUUGAUGGCAAAAUUAAUGCAAGACAUAUAUUGAUUAGUGAAUUACCUGCAUAUACAUUUUUUUGGGAAAAAGGUACACUUUUACAAUAAGAUGAUGUGGAAAGAUCUUGUCUACCUCAAGCUGGAAUAAAAGAUCAAAAGACUCAUCUGCAAAGCAAAACAGUCACGUCCUGGAUGAUAAUUAUCCUUAGGCACCGUCACAAAGAACUUAAAUGUUAAUGUGGCAAUAAUCAGUUAGGAAUUAUUUCUUUCUUUCUAGAGAGUACAAUGCAUGGCUUAUUUGUCACAAUUCUUUCAAGCUGCUUCUCAAUCCCUACCAAUGCUAUGAAUUGCACACUGUAUAUUUAAUGAAAUUCACAAAAGUUACCAUUCGUAUUAUUACUAACACCUGCAAAAUUUCAAUUCCAUUAACAAAAGUAAACAAAAAGUUUGGUUAAUUAACAGGCCUUUAAUGGAUAGAAAACUUGUUUCAUUUUGUCCAGUAAAAAAGGCCGCAGGUACCAGAAUGUCACUAAACAACGCUAAAUGCAGCCAUUUUUUGCAACGGUGUUAAAGACAGAGAGUAUGUUGUUCCAGUCACCAUGAAGAUCUAAUAUCAAACUUGAUUUGCCAAAAACAGUGGUUUGUAUGAAUAGCAUGAACAGGGACAUCUAGCGUUUAUCAGGCAAAAUUUUAUAACAAUUUCCAAGGUAUCUGCACAAUAUACUUGUCAAAAGAAAAAGACACAUUACAUAAUCAGAUAGUCAUGAGUUGAAAUACAACUAAACUUCAGUAUAAAAACAUGAAAUGCAAACAUAUUUGUUCCAGCAAAUUUUUCAUAUUCCUUAUGAACAAUUCACUGCAAAAAUUGAAUUUAUUUUCUGCUACAUCCGAUGAAUUCUCCUAAAGAUUUUAGCUUCAGAUAAAAAUAUCAAAAGUUUACUGAGAAAAGUCACUACAGGAUUCUCAUUCUAAUCACAAAACUUAUCAGGGCUCUGCGUUCCCCUCCCCUCAACAAAGACAUGGCUGCAAUGAGAACCAGAGCUGCAUGGAUGCAUUGCAUGAUAUACUUGGUAUAUCAGUAGGAUAUACUUUAUUCUACACUUGCCCUGGGCUAGAACCUAAAUUUAACGUCAAUGGAGAAGACUUCAAGUUCUUUGACAUAAUUUUUCAAGAGUAUUCUGAAGAUGUUACACUUUGCUACUGCUUUGCCAUUAAUAACCUGAUAAAUAAAAGGGCAUUUCAGAUUGUUUUCCAAGGAAUCAACUUUAAGCUGACAUAUCUUAUGGUCAUAUGGUCUUAUGACAACAUACAGAAUAAUCAGUCAAAAUUAAUUGACCAAGCUUACUAAUUUUUUGACAUAACUGAACAAGUGGCAAUUUCAAAAUGCCUUCAAUACCUCAUCCUAGAGCAGACUUGUGUAUGUGCAGCAAAAAUAUAUCUUAUCCCAUUGGGCAAGGAUGGAAGUGGACUUCCACAGGGGCUGUUGCCUUGCCUAUUGCUAUAUACCAUUGGUCUGGAUGAUCAGAAAACCAGUUUCAAAUUUGCUGUGAGUUUAAUUAACGCCUUUCAGAAUAGAUAUGCAAAUAUACAAGUGAAUUCCAAUAGUAAGUAUGUGUAAAGUAGUUCAAUUUGGCACACGUUGAAGAAAGAGGACACAUAGAUUAGCCACAAAACUGCCAGAAAAUUACCAUCGAGACAAAAAAACCCCACAUAACCCUGACUUUUAAUGAAUUACCACUGUAAGUCCUUUACCCUCAACAUGCCAGUGAUUACCAAAAAUCAAAACCUCAAUUGGACUAGCUACACUAAUACAGCAGCCAAAGUACAGGUCAGUGGCUAAGUAUCCUGUAGUUAGCAGCUCACCUUUAAAUAAAUUGAAAGUUUUGUCCACCAUUUGCAGGAAUCACAUCAGUGGUGUGAUGUUAAACUGAACAGAAUAGGUGCAUCUCCAACAACUCUUAAAUUGAAGGGAUGCCAAUUAAGCCCAUCAUCCUCAUCUUCCCAAGGCAGCUCUCAUACCCUUUUCUAUACUUUCCUCAGUUUCUUCUCAAUUGCACUUCAUCAUUUUCAGUAUCCUUUCUGGCUUCCUGAGGCAUUCGCUCUCAGCGUCUAACAAAUAUUUCUCUUUUUUUUGCCUAAUCCUACCUUCUUACUGCUUGUUCAAAAUGCUAGAGACAUUUCAUUGUGUUGAUGUAGAGAAGAUAUUUUCACUUGUGGAAGAAAUCAAAAUGUGGGCUUUAAAUCUAUAAAUACACUAGAUUGUACAGAUGCUGGAAAUCCAAAGCAACAAACACAAAAUGCUGGACGAACUCAGCAGGGAGAAUAUGAAGUGUUACUCCUCCAAUCUGAGAGUGGUUUCAUCUUGUGAGUAGAGGAGGUCAUGGAUCAUUGUGUCACGGUGGGAAUGGGGAUUAGAAUUAAAAUAGUUGGGCACCAAGAAAUCCUAUAUUUUGCAGAUGGAGCCAAGGUUCAUGACAAAGCAGUUCCCCCAAUUUAUAUCAGGUCUCACCAAUGCAAAGUAUUGCCUCACCUGGAAGCACUGUUUGGGGCCCUGAAUGGAGGUGAAGAGGAAGUGAAUCGACAGGUGUAAUACUUAUUUCACUUGCAGGGAUAGUACCAAAAGGAAGAUUAAUGGGGAGGAACAAGUGGACAAGAGAAUCAAGGAGAGAACGAUCAUGCAGAAAGUGGAGAAUGCGGCAAAGUAAAGAUACCAUGAAGAUGCAGAGAGGCGGAAGUUGCAGAGAAUGAUGUGCUGGAUGCAGAGGCCAGGACAAGAGGACCAUGAGGAUCACUGGGGGCUCUCUUCCACCCAGAGAUAUUCAUCAGAAGCACUGCAUAUGCAGGGCCCUUAGCAUAACCUAUGAUGAUCAUUAAUAAUAAAUAUAAGAAACACAGGAAAAACUCCUUAUCAGAUAAGAAUGGGAAUCCUGCAAACAUUAAAAACAGGGAUGCAUUUAAAGCAGAUUGGAAAACUGCAAAAGAGAAAGGAAAAAGCCGAAUGCUCCACUUAUGUUUUGUGAUCUCUAACUUAACAAACUGUGAUAGAGCAUAAAUUGAAUGCUGGUUUUGUUAGGAAAUGUGGGCCACCAAGAUCUGUCAGGCUGGCUUGAUUGCUUUAACAAGUCAGUGAGUAAUUCCUUAGAGUCUAUGUUUAACAGUGCAGUGUGAUAUCUCUUCUGCUGUAGCUGGAAAAUGCAAGGGAGUGGGUGACUGAAUGAUACCACAUGCAUAAAAGGUCAUUCGCUUUGCUGACAAGGAUAGAAAAACAGUACCUUUUACAUGUGCGCUGGUUCAUGAAAUACAGAAAAUUAACACAGCAAGCAAGGGCUGGACAUGGUCUUUAGAUCAAGGAGUACAGCAGGAAGAAGUGACUUAAGGAAGCCUCUGUAGGCAAGAUGAUCAUAACAUCACAGAUUGGCUUGCUAAAUCAUGAAGGAAGCCUUCGCGAGAACCACAAAGACAUACUGUAAAAAGUUGGACUUUCUGGAGUUAACCCUUCAAAUGAACCAUAAUUUUCUGACACUGGGGCAGUUAUGGAAGAAACAAUGCUGCUGUAAAAUGUUGUGGAAUGAAUCAAAAGUUUGGCCUGAAAGAAAGCUGCAUACUAUCAAUCAAAUGCAGAAGAACUUGCAAUGGAACAGUCUUCCAGAUUUAAAUUUCUAAAACAUCAUUUUCAAAACCAGUAAGUAUAUAUCCAAACACCACCUGGUGGAAAUAAUCCUCAUUGUCCUUUCCUCCGGAUAGUUAGUGCUCCAUCUCUGUUAUAGUUGCUCUCUGUAACACAGAAAUAAAACUGGCAACAGCAUAUAUCUAAACCCAACUUCAAAGUUGAUCAUCUUUCCUAACCCAUAAAAAAAGUCAUCUGAUACACUUGAAGAGUAUGCAUAGGUGGACUGAUUGCAACAACUAGAAUGACACAAAAUUUAUAAUUAAAUCAAUGAAAUUAGAAUCAUUACAACACAAACACUAUUCAGCCUAUCAAAUUUUUGCCAGCUUUUUGUGGAAGGAUUUAUGCAUUCCCAUUCCCCAACAUUUUCCUCGGGAGUAUUUGCAAAUUAUUUCCCCUCGAAUACCUAUUCAAUUCUCUUUUGAGAACUUCAAUUGAUUAAUUUCAACUAACAUUACUGACCUGCAAUCCACUCUUAAAUACAGUAGACUGUGUAAGGUCCCCUGUCCUUGAACAUAGCAGAUGAAAAAUACUGAUCAGAUCCAUUCAUACAUCAUCUGAACUCGCAUCCACCUAGGCAGCAGUGCUCAUUCCAUCCAAGGUAUGCUAAUGCACAGUUAUGUAAACUUUUCUUAAAAGGGGAAUAAUGUUAGACACACUGAAACAAAAUCCAAAUAACUACUCAUUAGUCUACAUAGCAAAUCAGCAAAAUAUUGCUGGUUGAUUAAUGGAACUGACCAGAUAAAAGUGCUGUAAGAUAAAAGGUUUUAAGGGUUGCUUCAUAUAUAAUCAGCCGGUCACACAACACUGCCACAAUAAAAUUCAUGAGUUUUAACAGAAACAUAUACAAAUAGCACUGUGUGCAUGUUUCCAGUUCAGCAAAGCAAUUAAUUUAAGGUACUAAACAAAAUCAUUUGCUUCCAAAUAGGAAGGAACUAAUAUAGAUCUCCUACAUCUUCUCCAACCCUUGACCUUUCCCCACACACCUGGCUUCACCUGUCACCUUCCUGCUUGCCUGCUUCUCCACCCCCUCCUUUUUAUUCUGGCAUCUCCUGCUUCCCUUCUCAGUCCUGAAUAAAGGUCUCUGUCCGAAACAUUGACUGCUUAUUCAUUUCCAUAGAUACUGCCUGACCUGCUGAGUUCCUCCAGCAUUUUGUAUAUGCUGUUUUGAAUUUCCAACAUCUGCAGACUUUCUCGUGUUUAUAAUUAAAAUACUUCUUUGGAUCAUCUCUAUGAAAACAUAAACUUUAAUUCUCAAAUCAAGUUGGUGAAAACUUCCAUAACUUAACUUCCACUUAAGGAUUCCCACUGUUAUCUCAACUAUACCUCUUCCCACCCUAUCGCCUGUAAAAAUGCUAUUUCCUUUUUUUCAGUUUCUUCACCUCUGCCUCGCAGGAUGCAACUUUCCAUUCCAGGACAUCCAAGUCCUCCUCCUAUAAAAGACAGGUUUUCCUCUCUCCACAAUUGAUACUGCCCUCGCGAGCAUCUCCUCCACUUCCCCAUACAUCAGCACUCACCCAUCUUAAUAGUGAUGGAGUUCCUCCUGUCCUUACCUACCACCCUAUCCAACACAUUAUCCUCCGCAACUUCUGCCAUCACCAAAGGGAUCCUACCACUAAAUAUAUCUUUACUGCCCCCUCAACACCCC